rnacentral:rRNA from 1 species
UACGGAGGAUGCAAGCGUUAUCCGGAAUGAUUGGGCGUAAAGCGUCCGCAGGUGGCUGUGUAAGUCUGCUGUCAAAGAGCAAAGCUCAACUUUGUAAAGGCAGUGGAAACUACACGGCUAGAGUGCGUUCGGGGCAGAGGGAAUUCCUGGUGUAGCGGUGAAAUGCGUAGAUAUCUGGAGGAACACCGGUGGCGAAGGCGGCAUCCUGGACCGGUAUUGACGCUGAGGCGCGAAAGCUAGGGGAGCAAACGGG